AGGACGAACGCUGGCGGCGUGCUUAACACAUGCAAGUCGAGCGGAAAGGCCCUUCGGGGUACUCGAGCGGCGAACGGGUGAGUAACACGUGAGCAACCUGCCCUUAGCUCUGGGAUAGCUCCGGGAAACCGGAUUAAUACCGGAUACGACCUAGGCCGACAUCGGCCAUGGUGGAAAGUUUUUCGGCUAGGGAUGGACUCGCGGCCUAUCAGCUAGUUGGUGGGGUAAAGGCCUACCAAGGCGACGACGGGUAGCCGGCCUGAGAGGGCGACCGGCCACACUGGGACUGAGACACGGCCCAGACUCCUACGGGAGGCAGCAGUGGGGAAUCUUGCGCAAUGGGCGAAAGCCUGACGCAGCGACGCCGCGUGGGGGAUGAAGGCCUUCGGGUUGUAACCCCUUUCAGCAGGGACGAAGCGAAAGUGACGGUACCUGCAGAAGAAGCGCCGGCUAACUACGCGCCAGCAGCCGC
rnacentral:rRNA from 1 species